CACGUAGGGCGCAAGCGUUGUCCGGAAUUAUUGGGCGUAAAGAGCUCGUAGGCGGUCUGUUGCGUCCGCUGUGAAAACUCGGGGCUUAACCCCGAGCUUGCAGUGGAUACGGGCAGACUAGAGGUAGGUAGGGGAGAAUGGAAUUCCCGGUGUAGCGGUGAAAUGCGUAGAUAUCCGUAGGAACAUCCGAGGCGAAGGCGGCUCGCUGGAUCACAACUGACGCUGAGGGACGAAAGCUAGGGGAGCAAACAG
rnacentral:rRNA from 1 species